rnacentral:rRNA from 1 species
CCUACGGGCUGCAGCAGUGGGGAAUAUUGGACAAUGGGCGAAAGCCUGAUCCAGCCAUGCCGCGUGUGUGAAGAAGGCCUUCGGGUUGUAAAGCACUUUCAGUGGGGAAGAAAGCCUUGGGGCUAAUACCCUCGAGGAAGGACAUCACCCACAGAAGAAGCACCGGCUAACUCCGUGCCAGCAGCCGCGGUAAUACGGAGGGUGCAGCGUUAAUCGGAAUUACUGGGCGUAAAGCGCGCGUAGGCGGUCUGAUAAGCCGGUUGUGAAAGCCCCGGGCUCAACCUGGGAACGGCAUCCGGAACUGUCAGGCUAGAGUGCAGGAGAGGAAGGUAGAAUUCCCGGUGUAGCGGUGAAAUGCGUAGAGAUCGGGAGGAAUACCAGUGGCGAAGGCGGCCUUCUGGACUGACACUGACGCUGAGGUGCGAAAGCGUGGGUAGCAAACAGGAUUAGAUACACCGGUAGUC